rfam:Picea glauca, whole genome shotgun sequence.
CGACCCCAUCUCAGGCGACAACACCCGCUAAAUUUAAGCAUAUAAUUAAGCGGAGGAAAAGAAACUUACAAGGAUUUCCCUAGUAACAACGAGCAAACCGGGAAUAGCCCAACAUGAAAAUAGGGUGGCAGUGUCACCUGAAUUAUACUCUGUAGAAGCUUCCUUAGUGGUGGACCGGGACCAAGUCUCCUGGAAGGGGACACCUGAGAGAGUGAUAGCCAUGUUGGGUCGGGACCCUGCCGCACCACGAGGCAUUGUCGACGUGUCGGGUUGUUUGGGAAUGCAGCCCUAAUCGGGUGGUAAAUUUCAUCCAAGCCUAAAUACAAGCGAGAGACCAAUAGCGAACAAGUAUCGUGAGGGAAAUAUGAAAAGGACUUUGAAAAGAGAGUUAAAGAGUGCUUGAAAUUGCCAAGAGGGAAGCGGAUGGAGGCCAACGAUGCAUCUCAGUCGGAAAUGGAACGACUUAAGUUGGUUCGUCGCUCGACUAGAGGUGCGAACCAGCACAGGCCAUUGCAUCAGCACAAGCAUGGGUGGAGUACUUCCUGUUGGUUUGUCAUUAUGGCGGUCAAGGAACGAAGUGUGUGCCCUUGGGGCCAGACACUAUGCACCUUCACUCUCGUGGUGUUAGUUGGCGGGCUUUCCAUUCAACCCAUCUUGAAACACGAACCAAGGAUUCUAACAUGUGUGUGAGUCAGUGGGUUUGUAAACCUGUGAGGCAUAAGGAAGCUGAUGGGCGAUAACCCCUCUCCACGGGGGGAAUUUUCAACCGACCUUGAGCUUGUGCGAAGGGUUCGAGUGCGAGCACACCUAUUGGAACCUGAAAGAUGGUGAACUAUGCCUGAGCAGGGUGAAGCUAGAGGAAACUCUGGUGCAGGCCAGUAGCAAUACUGAUGUGCAAAUCAUUCGUCUGACUUGGGUAUAGGGGUGAAAGACUAAUCAAACCAUCUAGUAGCUGGUUUCCUCCAAAGUUUCCCUCAGGAGAGUUGGAGCUCACGUGCGAGUUUUACCAAGUGGGCCAUUUUUGGUAAGAAGAAAUGGCGAUGGAGGAUGAACCAAAAGUCGAGUUACAGUGCCAAACUACGCACUAACCCAGAUCCCACAAAGGGUGUUGGUUGAUUAAGAUAGCAGGACGAUGGUCAUGAAAGUCGAAAUCUACUAAGGAGUGUGUAAAAACUCACCUACCGAAUCAACUAACCCCUAAAAUGGAUGGAAUUGAAGCACGUGACAUAUACUCGACCAUCAAAGCAAUUGUCAGGCUUCGAUGAGUAGGAGGACGUGGGAUUCAUUGAGAAACCUUGGGCGUGAUCCUGGGUGUACCGAUCCCCCAUGCAGAUCUUGGUGGUAGUAGAAAAUAUUCAAAUGAGAACUUUGAAGACUAAAGUGGGGAAAGGUUCCAUGUGAAAAACACUUGGACAUGGGUUAGUCGAUCCUAAGAUAUGGGUAAGCUCUAUAUCUAUGGUGCACUCUACACGAACAUCAAAAGGGAAUCAGGUUAAUAUUCCCAAACGGGAACAUGGUGGCAGACGAGAACGUUAGGAAAUCCGGAGACGUUGUCGGGGGCCCCAUGAAGAGUUAUCUUUUAUUUUUAACAGCUUGCCCACCCUGAAAUUGGCUCAACCAGAGAUAGGGUCUAGCAGCUGGAAGAGCAUCGCAAGUCUUGCAGUGUCCGGUGUGCCCUUGGAAUCCCUUGAAAAUAUGGAGGACCGAGUACCGUCCAUGUCUGGUCGUACUCAUAAUCGCAUCAGGUCUCCAAGGUGAAAAUCCUCUGGUCAAUAGAGAAAUGUAGGUAAGGGAAGUCGGAAAAAUAGAUCUGUAACUUUGGGAAAAGGAUUGGCUCUAAGGGUUGGGCCUAGGGGUCUGCAUCCUCAACCUAUGGGUUGUCGGAAGUCUGCCCUAGCUACUAUCGCGAUGAGGGUGGUCAGUCGCGUGUCGAUUGGGCUACAGACGUAGAAUGUCCCCUCGCGGGGGCUUUUCCCGAGGCGAUGAACAGUCGACUCAGAACUAGUACGGACAAGGGGAAUCUGACUGUUUAAUUAAAAAAAAGCAUUGCGAUGGUCCCUGCGGAUGCUCGCGCAAUGUCAUUUCUAUCUAGUGCUCUGAAUGCCAAAGUGAAGAAAUUCAACCAAGCACGGGUAAACGACGAGAAUAACUAUGACUCUCUUAAGGUAGCCAAAUGCCCUGUCAUAUAAUUAGUGAUGCACAUGAAUGGAUUAAUGAGAUUCCCACUAUCCUUAUCUACUAUCUAGAAAAACCACAACCAAGGGAAUGAGCUUGGUAGAAUCAGUGGGGAAAGAAGACCCUGUUGAUAUUGACUCUAGUCCGACUUUGUGAAAUGACUUGAGAGGUGUAGAAUAUGUGGGAGCCAUUUUUGAUGGAAGUGAAAUACCACUAUUUUUAACGUUAUUUUACUUAUUCUCUUGGGCAGAGACAUGGCAUUGGCCUUAAGACACAUUUCGAUUGGUUGAUCCAAGUGGAAGACAUUGUCAGGUGAGGAGUUUGGUUGGGGCAACACAUCUGUUAAAAGAUAACGUAGGUGUCCUAAGAUGAGCUCAAUGAGAACAUAAAUCUCAUGUGGAACAAAAGGGUAAAAGAUCAUUUGAUUUUGAUUUUCAGUACGAAUACAAAUCAUGAAAGCGUGGCCUAUCGAUCCUUUAGACUUUCGUAAUUUGAAGCUAGAGGUGUCAGAAAAGUUACCACAGGGAUAACUAGCUUGUGGCAGCCAAGCGUUCAUAGCGACGUUGCUUUUUUAUCCUUCAAUGUCGUCUCUUCCUAUCAUUGUGAAGCAUAAUUCACCAAGUGUUGGAUUGUUCACCCACCAAUAGGGAACGUGAGCUAGGUUUAGAUCGUCGUGAGACAUGUUAGUUUUAACCUAUUGAUGAACUGUGUCGCAAUAGUAAUUCAACUUAGUACGAGAGGAAUCAUUGAUUCACAUAAUUGAUCAUCGUGCUUGGUUGAAAAGCUAGUGGUGUGAAGCUACCGUGUGUCGGAUUAUGACUGAACUCCUUGAAUGUAUCUUGACCGACAGUAGGGGUGUUGCUUCAGCACCACUAAGGUCCUGUGUCACUUGCGAACCUCGGUCGAGAAGCUUCUUGAUCGAGGCAGCUUUGAAGUUCAAUUUCAAACAGUCGUUGAGAAUAAUCCUUUGCAGAUGACUUAAAUAUGUGACGGGGUAUUGUAAGUGGCAGAGUGGACUUGCUGCCACGAUCCACUGAGAUUCAACCCUUCUUCGCCUCGAUUCAG